GCAUUGAUGGUAUAGUGGUUAACAUAGCUGUCUUCCAAGCAGUUGGCCCGGGUUCGAUUCCCGGCCAAUGCA
rnacentral:tRNA from 2 species